GUGUCAGCCGCCGCGGUAAUACGAAGGGUGCAAGCGUUACUCGGAAUUACUGGGCGUAAAGCGUGCGUAGGUGGUUGUUUAAGUCUGUCGUGAAAGCCCUGGGCUCAACCUGGGAAUUGCGAUGGAAACUGGGCAACUAGAGUGUGGCAGAGGAUAGUGGAAUUCCUGGUGUAGCAGUGAAAUGCGUAGAGAUCAGGAGGAACAUCCGUGGCGAAGGCGACUGUCUGGGCCAACACUGACACUGAGGCACGAAAGCGUGGGGAGCAAACAGGAUUAGAAACCCUCGUAGUCC
rnacentral:rRNA from 1 species